rnacentral:rRNA from 1 species
AUACGGGGGGGGCGAGCGUUGUCCGGAAUCAUUGGGCGUAAAGGGUGAGUAGGCGGGAUGGUAAGUCAGAGGUGAAAGUCCAGGGCUCAACUCUGGAUCUGCCUCUGAUACUGCUGUCCUUGAGUGCGGGAGAGGGAAGUGGAAUUCCCGGUGUAGCGGUGAAAUGCGUAGAUAUCGGGAAGAACACCAGUGGCGAAGGCGGCUUCCUGGCCCGCAACUGACGCUGAAUCACGAAAGCGUGGGGAGCAAACAGCAUUAGAAACCCUAGUAGUCC